rnacentral:rRNA from 1 species
UGGAUCCAGACUUUGAUUAUGGCUCAGGAUGAACGCUAGCUACAGGCUUAACACAUGCAAGUCGAGGGGAAACGACAUCGAAAGCUUGCUUUUGAUGGGCGUCGACCGGCGCACGGGUGAGUAACGCGUAUCCAACCUGCCCACCACUUGGGGAUAACCUUGCGAAAGUAAGACUAAUACCCAAUGAUAUCUCUAGAAGACAUCUGAAAGAGAUUAAAGAUUUAUCGGUGAUGGAUGGGGAUGCGUCUGAUUAGCUUGUUGGCGGGGUAACGGCCCACCAAGGCAACGAUCAGUAGGGGUCCUGAGAGGAAGGUCCCCCACAUUGGAACUGAGACACGGUCCAAACUCCUACGGGAGGCAGCAGUGAGGAAUAUUGGUCAAUGGACGAGAGUCUGAACCAGCCUAGUAGCGUGCAGGAUGACGGCCCUAUGGGUUGUAAACUGCUUUUAUAAGGGAAUAAAGUGAGUCUCGUGAGACUUUUUGCAUGUACCUUAUGAAUA